CUCAGAGGAUGGUGAUGUCCUGGCACAGAUUUCCCAGAGAAGCUGUGGCUGCCCCUGGGUCCCUGGAAGUGUCCAAGGCCAGUCUGGACAGGGCUUGGAGCAGCCUGGGACAGUGGAACGUGUCCCUGAACAUGGCAGGGGUGGAACUGGACAAGCGCUAAAAUCCCUUCCAACCCAAACUAUUAGCGAGAGCAGGAUCAUUGCAUCUCCACAGGACUUCCUCCUUCAGGGUCUUUCCUGAUGUCAGCUAUACAGCUCUCCAUCCACAGAGAUAGCACAGGGGGUACACAGCAUACACUGUAGAUAUUAAGCCUCAGCCCUUGCUUGGCUCCUUGGUCAUUAUCCCACAGACAGCAGUGUUGCGUGAGGAGAACUUGGGCUGUGCUUCUGCCCUGGAGCCUGGGAAAAGCUCAGCGCAGAUGUUAGAAACAAUUGUUGCUUUAGGAAAGCUUUAAAAUCUGACUACUUUUGUGCUCAGUAACAGUAUGUCUGGUUUUUAAUUUUUGCAAAGCCUACAAUGGCCAGGACAGAAAUUAGUUCAUUUUAAAGAUGAAGGAUUUCCAUAGUAUUUAUUUGACUUGGCUUGGCAGCAGUGCUCUGUUUACAACUGGAUAAAUAACUGCCACAUUAAAGAUUAUUAACUAGCAAUGCUUCAGUGGCCAAUAAAGCACUAAUCUUUU